rnacentral:rRNA from 1 species
GACGAACGUUGGCGGCGUGCUUAAUACAUGCAAGUCAACUGAAGCAGUGGUAGCAAUCUCGCUGUGGAGGUGGCGCACGGGUGAGUAACACGUAGGUAAUCUGCCUUCAGGUCUGGCAUAACUCCGGGAAACCGGGGCUAAUAGCAGAUGAUGCAGCGGCUCGACAUCGAGACAGUUGUUAAAGCUAUGGCGCCUGAAGAUGAGCCUGCGUCUGAUUAGCUAGUUGGCGGGGUAACGGCCCACCAAGGCAACGAUCAGUAGCUGGUCUGAGAGGAUGAUCAGCCACACUGGAACUGAGACACGGUCCAGACUCCUACGGGAGGCAGCAGUAAGGAAUAUUGCUCAAUGGGAGAAAUCCUGAAGCAGCAACGCCGCGUGAGGGACGAAGGGCUUUUGCUUGUAAACCUCUGUAGUGAGAGAAAAAAAUCCCAAUCUUUGGGACAUGAUGGUAUCUGAAAAGUAAGCCCCGGCUAACUACGUG